UCAAAGAAGGGAGAGUUUAACUCCCGCCCAUGGCUCCCAAAGCCAAGAUUCUAUCUUUAAACUAUUCUUUG
rnacentral:tRNA from 1 species